rnacentral:rRNA from 1 species
UACCAGCUCUCCGAGUGGUGUGGACGUUUAUUGGGCCUAAAGCAUCCGUAGCUGGCUGAACAAGUCCCCUGUUAAACCCACCGAUUUAAUCGUUGGUCUGCGGGGGAUACUGCUCGGCUAGGGGACGAGAGAGGCAGACGGUAUUCCCGGGGUAGGGGUGAAAUCCUAUAAUCCCGAGAAGACCACCAGUGGCGAAGGCUGUCUGCUAGAACGCGCCCGACGGUGAGGGAUGAAAGCUGGGGGAGCGAACCGGAUUAGAUACCCGGGUAGUCCCAGCUGUAAACGAUGCAGACUAGGUGUUUGGACGGCCACGUGCCGUUCUAGUGCCGCAGGGAAGCUGUUAAGUCUGCCGCCUGGGGAGUACGAUCGCAAGAUUGAAACUUAAAGGAAUUGGCGGGGGAGCACCACAAGGGGUGAAGCUUGCGGUUUAAUUGGAGUCAACGCCGGAAAUCUCACCGGGAGCGACAGCAGGGUGAAAGCCAGAUUAAAGGUCUUGCUAGACGAGCU